GCGAGUACAGGGGUGGCAAACCCCCGUGCGCAAUGAAAGUGACAGAGGUUGGACUGGUGUUAGAAGCCAGGCACAAUCCGCCGGCCACAAUCCCUCGGGAGCAAGGUCUGAGUGUGAGCAUGUGUGAUAAGACCCGAAAGGUGGCGAACUAUGCCUGAAUAGGACGAAGCCAGGGGAAACUCUGGUGGAGGUUCGUAGCGAUUCUGACGUGCAAAUCGAUCGUCAAAUUUGGGUAUAGGGGCGAAAGACUAAUCGAGCCACCUAGUAGCUGGUUCCCUCCGAAAUUUCCCUUAGGAUAGCUGCAAUCGGUUAUCAGUUUUAUCAGGUAAAGCGAAUGAUUAGAGGCCUCAGGGGUGGAACGUCCUUGACCUAUUCUCAAACUUUAAAUGGGUAAGAGCCCAGUGUUGCUUAAUCGAACACUGGCGUUGAAUGACGGUUGUUAGUGGGCCAUUCUGGGUAAGCUGGACUGGCGAUGCGGGAUGAACCGAACGUUGAGUUAAAGUGCCUCACUGCCCGCUCACCUAGAUCCCACAAACGGUGUUGGUUCAUUUUGACAGCAGGACGGUGGCCAUGGAAGUCGGAAUCCGCUAAGGAGUGUGUAACAACUCACCUGCCGAAUGAACUAGCCC
rnacentral:rRNA from 1 species